UACGUAGGGCGCAAGCGUUGUCCGGAAUUAUUGGGCGUAAAGAGCUCGUAGGCGGCCUGUUACGUCUGCUGUGAAAUCCCGGGGCUUAACCCCGGGCGUGCAGUGGAUACGGGCAGGCUGGAGGCAGGCAGGGGAGAACGGAAUUCCCGGUGUAGCGGUGAAAUGCGCAGAUAUCGGGAGGAACACCAAUUGCGAAGGCAGCUCGCUGGGACGUUACUGACGCUGAGACGCGAAAGCGUGGGGAGCAAACAGG
rnacentral:rRNA from 1 species